rnacentral:lncRNA from 1 species
AAUGGAAAAAUAACUGGCUUCCUGCACAAUGGAAGAGGAAAAUCAAUGGAAGCUUCACUGAAUGUUUUCAAGUCAGAAAGACUGCAAUUUUGAUGUUUUAGUCACCCUAAAUGGCAUAGACUGAAGCCUGC